rnacentral:rRNA from 1 species
UACGAAGGGGGCUAGCGUUGCUCGGAAUUACUGGGCGUAAAGCGCACGUAGGCGGCUUUCUAAGUCGGGGGUGAAAUCCUGGAGCUCAACUCCAGAACUGCCUUCGAUACUGGAAAGCUCGAGUCCGGGAGAGGUGAGUGGAACUGCGAGUGUAGAGGUGAAAUUCGUAGAUAUUCGGAAGAACACCAGUGGCGAAGGCGACAUACUGGCUCGUUACUGACGCUGAGGCUCGAAAGCGUGGGGAGCAAACAGG